UGCCUGGAGUGAAGAUUCUGCCCAUUGGUCAAGAGACCUCCCUCUCAGAUGCUGGCUCUGCCCCUGCCUUUGGGGGUCGACCCUUGUACUCGCAGGACCUUAGGUGACUCUGUAAGUAUAGUAAAACGCAGUUAAUAUGAUGUUAUCAUUCAAUCAUUUUUAAAAAGUGGAGCAACCAGUUGACAAGGACUUUGUCAAAGGAAAAAUUUCUGCAUGUGCACACACAGAUCUUGGAAGUUUAUUCAUCUCAGCAGAGGCAGACAGGAGCAUCAACAGCCUUGGGGACAGCAGCAGUGGUGGUAGGGCAAAAUAAAACUUAUAUGAAACUGUAAUCACUAAUGUGUGAAAAUGGAAGAUUCAGGAAGUGUUUCAUAUCUGAAAUAUGAACCCAACGUGGAAUCAACAUGCAUCCAAACAGGACUAAAUGUGCAAACCCAAGGCAAGAUUAAAACUAUAAAUAUUUAGCAAUUUGGCAAAUUGGUCAUUUUGGAGACUAGCUUUUAGCAAAUUCAUCAUAUGUUUAAUUGAUUUCCAGUAAAUUGGCUGCUUCCAUCAAGGCUGCCUUGGGUGACUAUGUCCAAGCAACCAAAUUGCUCUC
rnacentral:lncRNA from 1 species